AGAACGAACGCUGGCGGCAUGCCUAAUACAUGCAAGUCGAACGAACUCUUCGGAGUUAGUGGCGCACGGGUGCGUAACGCGUGGGAAUCUGCCCCUUGGUUCGGAAUAACAGUUGGAAACGACUGCUAAUACCGGAUGAUGACGAAAGUCCAAAGAUUUAUCGCCAAGGGAUGAGCCCGCGUAGGAUUAGCUAGUUGGUGAGGUAAAGGCUCACCAAGGCAACGAUCCUUAGCUGGUCUGAGAGGAUGAUCAGCCACACUGGGACUGAGACACGGCCCAGACUCCUACGGGAGGCAGGCGGUAGGGAAUAGUUGGACAAGUGGGCGAAAGCCUGAU
rnacentral:rRNA from 1 species